rnacentral:lncRNA from 1 species
UUACUAUUUUGAAUUUAAAGUUCAUACUCCCAAGAGGGAAUUUUCAGAUCUCCGCUGCUCACGCUUUGCACGAAGUUCAUUCCGUGCUUGAUCACUGCUGUCUUCACUCGUCCUCGGAUCUCGUCUUCUUCGUUCUUCACCCAUCCGCGAUAUCCUCAAGAGUAACGACAACUACAUUUAUACAUCCAUAAAUAUCUGCUUUAUCAUCACUGAAAGUCAUACAUCUUCUUUGUCAUUGCAUGAACAAUAUCUGCUUAGAUAGAUCUACUUUGUUAAACAUUAAUACAUAAAUAUUUACCUGUAUUAGCAUAACUUGGAUUCACAUCAUCAAGUUAAUAUUUAAGUAUUAAUAGAUCAUUUGUUUUCAACGUAUACAAUAUCUGCUUAGAGGCGGUAUAUAUUCUCCGGAUUUUCCGAUCCGAACUAGAAAAAUCUCCAUCCUCGACCGAAAUCCCUGUCCCGGAUAAUCCCCAUACGGCCAUACCUAGGGGUGAGAACGAGGCGGGUCCCGGACGGGGCGGUCCCCUAGUGCGAAACUGGGCAGGUCAGGUAUUCUACCUUCUUGCCUCGAUACCCACCUCGUGACCGGGGCGCGGAACGGGGCGGAUCCAGGACGACCCGAC